rnacentral:lncRNA from 1 species
GUGUCUGCUAUUCACAGGCACACUGUGGGAGACCUCUGAGUUGAGCCUGGACAUGAAGGAACACCAACUGCAGUAAGAGGAAUUCUGGCUCUCUAGGAGAAAGAUUACGUAGAUUACAGGUAUCGGUGGAGACUGCACGCUAACCAUUAUAUUUGGGAAGAAAUCUUCACUUUCUAUCUUGUACCAAAAACCAUAAGAAAACUCAAAACAGAAUUUUUUAAAAAGAUAAAUUUUUAUCAAAUUUAGGAUAAGGAAAAAACACUUCCUAAGUAUAAGAGCAGUGGAGGAAGCCACAGAGGAAAAACAGGUUUAUGAAAUAGGCUACGAAAAAACUGAAGAAGAAAAUGAUGUGUUAAGGAAAAUAUCUGAAAAAUGUGGCGUCUUGCUAUGUCACCCAGGCUGUAGUGCAGUGGAUUGUUCAUAGCUCACCGCAGCCUCGACCUCUGGGCUCAGGUGAUCUUCUUGCCUCAGCCUCCCAAGUAGCUGGAACCACAGGCAUGUGCAACCAUGCUCAGCUAAUUUUUUAAAUUUUUUUGUAGGGAUGGGGUAGCUAGUUAUAAUCUAGGUGAAUUUUAUAAACAAUUGAUCCCAAGUA